rnacentral:rRNA from 1 species
CGUAGGUGACAAGCGUUAUCCGGAAUUACUGGGCGUAAAGCGCACGCAGGCGGCGCGGUAAGUCUGAUGUGAAAUCUCCCGGCUUAACUGGGAGGGGUCAUUGGAAACUGCCGAGCUUGAGGCGGUGAGAGGGGGUGUAGAAUUCCCGGUGUAGUGGUGGAAUGCGUAGAUAUCGGGAGGAAUACCAGUGGCGAAAGCGACACCCUGGCACUAGCCUGACGCUCAUGUGCGAAGGCGUGGGGAGCGAACGGGAUUAGAUACCCCGGUAGUCCACGCGGUAAACGAUGAAUACUAGGUGUGGGUGGAGUGAAAUCCAUCUGUGCCGAAGCAAACGCGAUAAGUAUUCCGCCUGGGGAGUACGGCCGCAAGGCUA